rnacentral:lncRNA from 1 species
CAAAAAAUAAUGUCAUAGUUUAGCAAAAAAAAAUGUCAUAUGAUACAGAACUUAUAGAAAAGAACAAAGCAAAAGUUCGAGUACAGAAGAUUAAAUUUAACACGCGAAACGCAAAAAAAAGAAAAAAAAAACAAUUGUUUUUGACUUGGUCUCUAACAAAGGGAGACUCUCAUCCAUAUGGAAACUAUCUAAUGCGGAUAGAACCUUUUCUCUCUCUUCGAACCAUUUCUCUCCAAAGUUAAAACCGCUGCUUCCUCUCCGUUUUGCUCCGGCGUCGGUAAGGCGGCGUCAGAGGCGUGCUCUCCUCCUCUUAUCAUCCUCCUUUUGUCUUUGCUUUCUGCUUCUUCUCCACUCUUCUGUUCGAUAUACUUGAAGCUCUGGUCUUCCUUCGUCUUCACAUCUCCGGAGAGCUCGCCGUGUGUGGAGGCCGUGGGGUUCUUGGAGUUUCGGUGAGGCGUGUUCGAGUGGAGCAGUUCAGGAGGUCGGUUUUUAGGGUUUGAGGCAUCACCAGAUCUCAUUUUUCCCUUGUAGAUCUCCGGCGUGUCUCUGCGAUUGGUGGCGCGUGGCUUGCUUAGAAGGCUCCUUCUCCCGGAUCUGUGUUAUUCUUGUUGUUAUUCUUCGUUGCGAUCUCCGGGUUAAGUGGGGCGGUGGCGCGUGAGUUCACUUGUCUGCUUGGUGUCUCGCGGAGAAGCCUCUCGUCGUCAUCAUCCAAGGGGUUCAGUGUUUUCUGGCGCGUGCAAGGUGGUUAUGGUCGUCGUGUGUCGGUCGUGGCUCCUUGAUGUCCGCGUGUGCAAGUCUAUAGCUCGGCGGAGACGAGGAGUCGUCUAUGGCUCUGGUCUAAGUUUGAGUUUCCGUUGCUUCCCCUUUGCUCUUCUCUGGUCACGGCAUCUCGGUAUGCUCCUCGUGUUUGGAUUUUCGCGUAAUCUCAGCAUCGAGCUUGGUGUGUUGCCCUCUUCCUGAAGUUUCCGAUGGUCUACGUCAACUUCUGGAUGAGCUCAGAGGCAGUCAGCUCUCUGGUUCUCAGAGGUUGGGCUUGGCGAGUCAUAGGAUUCCUUAUGGUCUAGUGGUCCUUGGCUUGAGGACUCCUUUCUUUGAAUUUCAACAUCCCAGCGCUUGGUUCUUGGUCAUUUGAUUUCCCGAGUGGUUGUAAUUCUAACUGUUUUCUGUGCAGGUCACCUUCCAGCAUACUCGUGAUGUGGCCACCAUUCAAACCCGUCCUUUUAGUAUAGUCUCCAGUCGUAUGUUUAGUCUUUGUUGUUCUGUCUUGUGUUUAGUUUGUGGUAUGUGUUGUGUGUUCUUGUGCUGUGUUAUCGGUUGUGCCCGAGCAUAAUUCAUCAGCGGUUCACUAGUGAGGAAAGAGCGGAGACUAUGUUCUCCCGCCCCGAUUAACCGGGACCAGCCGGUGAUCACGGAUGUCGGGUCCGGGGUUAUGAUAAGCGGCUUGUCUGUGUAGUCCUUUAGAGUUGGGUCCGGAGCUUGCGAAGUAACCCGGCUGUGUAUCCUUCGGAAGUGUAGCGGGGCAGUCUUAGGUCGUACGGAUUUUACUCAAAUCUCUUUUGUAACCGUUGUUUAUGCCCAGGGUGGAUGAAUGAAUUUUAUUUAUUAAAAAAAAAAAAAAAAAAAAAGGGCGUAUUGUUUUUGGUCUUUAUUUAAUAUUAAGAAAGCUGUUUUACAAAAAAAAAAAAAAAAAAAAAAAAAGGGAGACUCUCGUGCACUGCAACGCUCCCGCAGAACUUGCGUUUUUUAGCGUUUGCGACAGUGAACCACUAAUAUGGGCCGGGCCUUUCCAAUUCCUUUUGAAAGGCCGAAACAAGCCCGUUCUCAAAGUAAUCACGCAC